GACGUAGGGCGCGAGCGUUGUCCGGAUUUAUUGGGCGUAAAGAGCUCGUAGGCGGCUUGUCGCGUCGACUGUGAAAACCCGCGGCUCAACUGCGGGCCUGCAGCCGAUACGGGCAGGCUAGAGUUCGGUAGGGGAGACUGGAAUUCCUGGUGUAGCGGUGAAAUGCGCAGAUAUCAGGAGGAACACCGGUGGCGAAGGCGGGUCUCUGGGCCUUACCUGACGCUGAGGCGCGAAAGCCUAGGGGAGCGAACAGG
rnacentral:rRNA from 1 species